GCCUGGGGUGUUGCAGGCACUCUGCGGCUGUAGCUAUUGAUCCUAUUGCACUGGACUAAGGAGUUGUGGGUUCAUCUAAACUCAUUUGGCUGGUAGAGGAACAGUGGAGGUCCUGCACACAGCAAGUACCAGGCUCAGAGGCAAGGGGACUGCAGAGUUUUAAGGAACUAUGAAGAAGCUUGGAGAGAAGAGAGAUGACAGGUAGCAUUUUUUUAAAUGCCCAUGACACACUGUGUUAUUUAUUAUUGUCCUAGUAUUAUGAAGCAGUUGGUGCUGUCAGCAGCAGUUAGAUAAACCUGAAUAUUCCUGCCCUCACUGCUAUGGUCAAGUUCCUAACAGAUAUAUAAGAUUUGAGAUCUGGGAGAUUUGUAAAACUACAUUAUGUCUAAAAUAAUUCUAGCAUUAUUUGUACUCUUUCCUUUUUAUUGUUAGUAUCUUAUAGGAAGUAUCUGGUUUAGUUGUAAAAAGCUAUAAUGUAUAGACAAGUACUGUAGCAUAUACACACAAUUGGAGCAGCAGUGUAAGUUUAAUCUUAUUGUAGCUCUGACUAAAAAAGAAUGUUAGUUUUAAUUAUACAUUUUAUUUGGAGCAAUAAACUUCACAUCAGCAGAUAACUGAUACAUAAGCUACUGGUAAGAAAAUUUGUCUCUUUAUAUUCACACUGAUUUUUACAAAAUUCUAGACUAUCUCCAUUUAAGCUAGUUACUUUGAGAAUAGCAUGUAGACUGUGCUGGUCAAUUUCUCAUCACAGUGACAAAUACCUAACCCCACAAGCUGAAAGGAAGACUUUAACUUCACUCCCAAUUCAGAUCUUCAGUCUACACACUGGAAAACACUAGAUGUGGAGUGGUGUUUAACAACGUGACAUAUGAAUUUCCUUCCACACAGUAGUAUACAAGCUUCCUGUUUCCCAGAACACUAUGCACAAAGGCUUUGUAUAAAGCACAUGAUGAGCACAUAUUUCUCACUUUCUGUUUUAUUGGCAAAGAGGAGCCAGGAAUACCAGCAGGAAAGAGCCACAUCCCUCUCCAAUGGAUGAAAUCAAUAAUUUUGAUCCUGUCCCAGUUCCCAGAAACCUUAGUCUUAACUGUGUUAAAUUUAAUACUUGAAUAGUAGUGGAAAGAGGGCGGAGUACUCUUUAACAAAGCUUGUUCCACUAACAAAAGUUGAAUACCAGGAAAGAAAACCAAGAGGUAAUCCAAUGGCCAUUAUUUUGAGCUUGUUGCAUGAGAACAAAGCACCAACUUGGGACAAGGCAUCUCUGUGCUCACAUUCCUCUUGGAACAUUACAUCUGAUUCAUGGAAUCCAUUACAUCACAGGCACAUGGCUCACACCUGAAUUCUAAAUGCCUUUGUCUUGAGAUGCAGAUGAGACAAGGCAAAAGACUGUUGGAAAAUUUCAUUCCAAAAUGAAAGAUAUUUCAAAUAAUAAGUGAGCCUAGCUAGGUGUGGUGGUGUACACCAAUAUUCCCAGCACUUGGUAGGCUAAGGCAGGAGGAAUUCAAGUUUGGGAUCAGUCUGUGUUCUGUAAGGAUAUCAUGUCUUGGGGGCGGGGAGAAAGAAGACGAGGGCCAGUUUUAUCCAGUUGUGAACCCUCUGAGCUACAACAAUGACUGACCUGGAGAUAUGCUCAUGAGUUCAUUAGUGGCACAAAUGUUAUGGAGAUAAUCUACUUUUUUUCUGACUGGAUUUAAGGCCCACUCCACAGGAGGACUCUCAAGCCUGAUAUUGUAAUUGGGCCAAGAACCCAUGACCGGGGAGCCCAAACCUUCCAAGUAUAAACCUACUACCUUUCUCUUUAUGUUGAGUGGACAUAGGAUCAAGCUGCCUUCUAAAUACAAAUCUUGGUUCUCAAAAGAUUGGUACGUCUCUCAGUCAUUAGAGUAGUGUCUUCUGCAGUGGAUGGUAGUGAACACAGAGACUCCAAACAUCAAAAGUGCGGAGGACAGUCUUUGUAAGCUGCUCAGCUCUAGAUGGAACAUAUGUAAUAUAUCUCUCCUACAAGGCUCAGGGAACAUUGCAGAACAUAGGGCAGAAAGACUGUAAGAGCCAGAGGUUAGGGCAGACUGAGAUGAAACAGUAUCUCUGGACAUGACAGCUGCAGUCAUGAACUCGAAGCACCUGUGUGUUGCCUGCACAAGACUUGCAUGAGACCAAUCCAGUCAACAGUUCAGCAUGGAAUGGGACGGGACACAUAAGUCCCCAUUCCUUGAUAAGGCGAUAUUGAGAGUUGAAGGUUGCUAAGGAAGGGAGAAUUAGUUUACUUUGGGGACAUGGUUCCUCACAUGUUGUCUGUGCUCUAAUUGAUGGCACACACCCAUGUGUAUAUGGGAAACACUAACAGAAUUCAGUGGGGUAUUUAUAUAUUUAUAUAUAUUUUAUUUAUAUUUUUAUGUAUAUGAGUGUUUUUCUUGUGUGUAUGUUUGUGUACCACGUGUGUGCUUGAAAUCCAAAAGAGGCCAGAAAAGAGCUUUGGAUCCUCUUGAACUGGAGUUAUAGGUUGUUGUG
ensembl:processed_transcript